AGAUGGCUGGAGAUGGUGCUAAGGCCAGGCUGAUGGGGGUGGGGUGGGGCAGACACAUGGGGAGAGGUUUCCAAGUUUGUUUCCCAUGGUGGCCACGGCAGCAGCUGCCUGAUGCCAUCCCAGAGGUUUCUGCAGAGGUGGUGCUUGGGAGGUGGGACAUCAGUCACACACAUCCAAAAGUAAGAUAUCCUGUUUGCCCCAACUCUCACUAACCUUGACCAUGCUGCCUCCCUCUCUGGCGCUCUGGGAGAAAGAAUGUUCUGCAGAGGUUUGUACAUCUCUGAGAGUCCUGCCUAAGCCUGCCAGCCCUUACUACACCACCAUUUUCCUCCAGCCCCUACCCACUGGGGAACAGAAACAGAGCCAGAGAGGAAUUGAGAGAUGGAGAGAGAAUGAGGUGGAGACAGGCUUGGUGAGUGUUUAGCUAGGGGGAGUGAGGGAGAGUGAGGUGAGACAUGGCAUGACAGGGAGCACAGAGAGGGGGAGUAGCCAGCCUUAGAUGUAAGAGAGGGCCCCUCCCAAUGCCAGACCUGGCUUGCAGGCUCCCCCAGCUUUUAUAGAGCGGCCCAAGGAAGAAUAUUUCCAAGAAGUAGGGCGGGAGCUGCUCAUCCCCUGCUCCGCCCAAGGGGACCCUCCUCCUGUUGUCUCUUGGACCAAGGUAAGGCUCCUGAGCCCGCUCUGCCUGUACCCACACCCACUACAUCCCUGCCUCUUGUGCCCCAGCCAUUUUGUGGGAGGGAGGGUGUGGGAAGGAGAAGGCUGUCAGAGGCAGGGUGGGGAGGAACUGGAGCUGCCUGGAGAGAUGAGGGGCGCCUUUGGUGAGGGGUGGCUGCGUGUGUCCUCAGGGCUCACCAGUGGUUCUGUAGGUGGGCCGGGGGCUGCAAGGCCAGGCCCAGGUGGACAGCAACAGCAGCCUCAUCCUGCGACCAUUGACCAAGGAGGCCCACGGGCACUGGGAAUGCAGUGCCAGCAAUGCUGUGGCCCGAGUGGCCACCUCCACGAACGUCUACGUGCUGGGCACUAGCCCUCAUGUUGUCACCAAUGUGUCCGUGGUGGCUUUGCCCAAGGGUGCCAAUGUCUCCUGGGAGCCUGGCUUUGAUGGUGGUUAUCUGCAGAGAUUCAGUGUCUGGUACACCCCACUGGCCAAGCGUCCUGACCGAAUGCACCAUGACUGGGUGUCCUUGGCAGUGCCUGUGGGGGCUGCUCACCUCCUAGUGCCAGGGCUGCAGCCCCACACCCAGUACCAGUUCAGCGUGCUAGCUCAGAACAAGCUGGGGAGUGGUCCCUUCAGCGAAAUCGUCUUGUCUGCUCCUGAAGGGCUUCCUACCACGCCAGCUGCACCCAGGCUUCCCCCAACAGAGAUACCGCCUCCCCUGUCCCCUCCGCGGGGUCUGGUGGCAGUGAGGACACCCCGGGGGGUACUCCUGCAUUGGGAUCCCCCAGAGCUGGUCCCUAAGAGACUGGAUGGCUACGUCUUGGAAGGCCGGCAAGGCUCCCAGGGCUGGGAGGUGCUGGACCCGGCUGUGGCAGGCACAGAAACAGAGCUGCUGGUGCCAGGCCUCAUCAAGGUACGUGCGAAAGGCGAUACAGAGAGAGGCCUCCUAGGGGCUCUCCUGCGUCCUUCUCCAUUCCCCAAACCCUAUCUUCUCAUCUUGAUUUGAGCUCUUCACCUCUGCGUCCUACCUCACCCUUCCGCCCCACGUGCACGGUCUUUCCGCGCCCCGCUGGGUUGGGCGGUGCUGGGCCCUGACCUCCCUCCUGGUACCCCAUCCCCAUCGCAGGAUGUUCUCUACGAGUUCCGCCUCGUGGCCUUCGCGGGCAGCUUCGUCAGCGACCCCAGCAACACGGCCAACGUAUCCACUUCCGGUGAGCACCUGGCGUGAGGGAGGAGCCCCAGGGCUGCUCCGAAUCCACUGACCCUCCCUCGUGGACCCCUGCCUAGGUCUGGAGGUCUACCCUUCGCGCACGCAGCUCCCGGGUCUCCUGCCCCAGCCCGUGCUGGCCGGCGUGGUGGGCGGAGUCUGCUUUCUGGGCGUGGCCGUUCUUGUGAGCAUCCUGGCCGCCUGCCUCAUGAACCGGCGCAGGGCUGCCCGCCGCCGCCGCAAGCGCCUCCGCCAAGAUCCACCUCUUAUCUUCUCUCCGACCGGGAAGUCAGCUGCACCCUCUGCUCUGGGCUCAGGCAGUCCUGACAGCGUGGCGAAGCUGAAGCUCCAGGGAUCCCCAGUCCCCAGCCUGCGCCAGAGUCUGCUCUGGGGGGAUCCUGCCGGAACUCCCAGCCCCCACCCGGAUCCUCCAUCUAGCCGGGGACCCUUACCUCUGGAGCCCAUUUGCCGGGGCCCAGACGGGCGCUUUGUGAUGGGGCCCACUGUGGCGGCCCCCCAGGAAAGGUCAGGCCGGGAGAAGGCAGAACCUCGGACUCCAGCCCAGCGUCUGGCCCGGUCCUUUGACUGUAGCAGCAGCAGCCCCAGUGGGGCACCCCAGCCCCUCUGCAUUGAAGACAUCAGCCCUGUGGCACCCCCUCCAGCAGCCCCACCCAGUCCCUUGCCAGGUCCCGGACCCCUGCUCCAGUACCUGAGCCUGCCCUUCUUCCGAGAGAUGAAUGUGGAUGGGGACUGGCCCCCUCUUGAGGAGCCCAGCCCUGCUGCACCCCCAGAUUACAUGGAUACCCGGCGCUGUCCCACCUCAUCUUUCCUUCGUUCUCCAGACACCCCUCCUGUAUCCCCCAGGGAAUCACUUCCUGGGGCUGUGGUAGGGGCUGGGGCCACCGCAGAGCCCCCUUACACAGCCCUGGCUGACUGGACACUGAGGGAGCGGCUGCUGCCAGGCCUUCUCCCUGCUGCCCCUCGAGGCAGCCUCACCAGCCAGAGCAGCGGGCGAGGCAGCGCUUCGUUCCUGCGGCCCCCCUCCACAGCCCCCUCUGCAGGAGGCAGCUACCUCAGCCCUGCUCCAGGAGACACCAGCAGCUGGGCCAGUGGCCCUGAGAGAUGGCCCCGAAGGGAGCAUGUGGUGACAGUCAGCAAGAGGAGGAACACAUCUGUGGACGAGAACUAUGAGUGGGACUCAGAAUUCCCUGGGGACAUGGAAUUGCUGGAGACUUUGCACCUGGGCUUGGCCAGCUCCCGGCUCAGACCUGAAGCUGAGCCAGAGCUAGGUGUGAAGACUCCAGAGGAGGGCUGCCUCCUGAACACUGCCCAUGUUACUGGCCCUGAGGCCCGCUGUGCUGCCCUUCGGGAGGAAUUCCUGGCCUUCCGCCGCCGCCGAGAUGCUACUAGGGCUCGGCUACCAGCCUAUCGACAGCCAGUCCCCCACCCCGAACAGGCCACUCUGCUGUGAACAUCCCUAAUGUGAGGCUGUGAAAAGGCAUAUGGACCUGCAAAGGAGGCCCCCAACCAGACAGACCUAGUUUCAAAUGAGGGCACUGCCCCUGCCUGCCCCUUUGGUGCCCAGGCACAGACCCUGAUAGUGGGCUUGGGUCACCUUGGUAUGGAAUGUAUGUGCUGACCCCCUAGGUGAGUCUGGGGAUUGGAACAGGGACCUUAGGUCUGCCUCUCUCUCUCUCUCUCUGUAUGUGUGCGUGUGUGUGUGUGUGUGUGUGAAGUUUUUUACAGGUGAAUAAACAAAGUUUGAAAGAUG
rnacentral:sRNA from 1 species